GACGAACGCUGGCGGUGUGCUUAACACAUGCAAGUCGAACGGUAAGGCCCUUUCGGGGGUACACGAGUGGCGAACGGGUGAGUAACACGUGAGUAACCUGCCCUCAUCUCUGGGAUAACAGUCGGAAACGGUUGCUAAUACUGGAUAUGAGCUUGCAAGGCAUCUUGUGGGCUGGAAAGAUUUUUUUUGGUUGGGGAUGGACUCGCGGCCUAUCAGCUUGUUGGUGAGGUAGUGGCUCACCAAGGCUUCGACGGGUAGCCGGCCUGAGAGGGCGACCGGCCACAUUGGGACUGAGAUACGGCCCAAACUCCUACGGGAGGCAGCAGUGGGGAAUAUUGCACAAUGGACGGAAGUCUGAUGCAGCAACGCCGCGUGCGGGAUGACGGCCUUCGGGUUGUAAACCGCUUUCAAUUGUGACGAAGCUUUUUUGUGACGGUAGCAGUAGAAGAAGCACCGGCUAACUACGUG
rnacentral:rRNA from 1 species